GGGCAGAGGGUCAUGUAGUGGAAUAGAGCUGUACCUGGCUUCAGGCGAGACUUGGAGCUCAAAACUUUCAGUAGGACAGCCAGGCGCGGUGGCUGAUGCCUGUAAUCCCAGCACUUUGGGAGGCCGAGGUGGGCGGAUCACGAGAUUCUUGUGCUGUCACUCAGGCUGGAGUGCAACGUUGAAAUCUCGGCUCACUGCAACUUCUGCCUCCCGGAUUCAGGCAAUUCUUGUGUCUCAGCCUCCUAAGAAGCUGAGAUUACAGCAACUCCAAAAUGGAAGUACUAUUGUUAUCUCCGUUUACAAAUUAGGAAACUGAGGCACAGAUAUGCUCUUGGGUACUUGUCAGCAGCAGUUGUUCUACAAGUAAGGUGAAAAGUAGAACCUCUUUAUCACUAGGCUAAAUAUCUGGAUAUCUUAAAUCUCAGAUGAGCGUCUUAGCCUCUGGAUUACUGCUCAAUGAGGAAAGCUAUGAAAUGCAUGGAUAACUUGCUAAUCAGUAUUUGCCAUAUGUGCUAGCAGCAUCAGCAUCAGUUGGGAGAUUAUGGUGGCCUCCAUGUCAGACCUCCUAAAUCGGAAUAUCAGAGAAGGUGGCCCAGGUUACCAUGCUUCAUCUGCCAAUGCAUUGAAAACUUGGAAUGUAAAUUAAUUCAACCAUUGUGGAAGAUGGUGUAGUGAUUCCUCAAAGACCUAGAAGCAGAAAUAUCAUUUGAUCCAGAAAUCCCAUUACUGUGUAUACACCCAAAGGAAUAUAAACCAUUCUAUUACAAA
ensembl:lncRNA novel transcript